GAUGAACGCUGGCGGCGUGCUUAACACAUGCAAGUCGAACGGUUAAACCGCCUUCGGGCGGAUAUACAGUGGCGAACGGGUGAGUAACACGUGACCAACCUGCCCACCGCUCCGGGAUAACGCGGGGAAACCCGCGCUAAUACCGGGUACUCCGGUGCGGGCGCAUGCCCGCGCCGGGAAAGCCCAGGCGGCGGUGGAUGGGGUCGCGGCCCAUCAGGUAGUUGGGGGGGUAACGGCCCACCAAGCUUACGACGGGUAGCCGGGCUGAGAGGCCGAUCGGCCACAUUGGGACUGAGACACGGCCCAG
rnacentral:rRNA from 1 species